rnacentral:rRNA from 1 species
CAUGUCUUUUUGAAUUUAAUUUAAAGUCUAAUCUGCUCAAUGAUCUUAUUUUAAAUAGCUGCAGUAUUUUGACUGUACAAAGGUAGCAUAAUAAUUAGUCUUUUAAUUGAAGACUGGUAUGAAUGAUUGGACGAGAGAAUUUCUGUCUUUUAAUUAAUUAUUUUGAAUUUAACUUUUUAGUAAAAAGGCUUAAAUGAAUUUAAAAGACGAGAAGACCCUAUAGAGUUUUACAUAUUAUUAUUAUAUAGUUUUUAGAAUUAUGAUUAUUAUAUAUUAUAAAUUAUGUUUAAUUGGGGAGAUUAAAAAAUUUAAUAAACUUUUUUAUAGAUUUUAAUUAUUGAUUUAUAAUUUUUUUAUCUAGUUUUUAAAUUUAAAAUAAAUUACCUUAGGGAUAACAGCGUUAUAUUUUUUAGAAGUUCUUAUUUUAAAAUAUAUUUGCACCUCGAUGUUGGAUUAAAAUAAAUUUUUAGCGCAAGAGCUAUAUAAUUAAGUCUGUUCGACUUUUAAAAUUUUACAUGAUCUGAGU